rnacentral:rRNA from 1 species
AGGUGAACCUGCGGAAGGAUCAUUACCGAGUGAGGGCCCUCUGGGUCCAACCUCCCACCCGUGUUUAUUUUACCUUGUUGCUUCGGCGGGCCCGCCUUAACUGGCCGCCGGGGGGCUUACGCCCCCGGGCCCGCGCCCGCCGAAGACACCCUCGAACUCUGUCUGAAGAUUGUAGUCUGAGUGAAAAUAUAAAUUAUUUAAAACUUUCAACAACGGAUCUCUUGGUUCCGGCAUCGAUGAAGAACGCAGCGAAAUGCGAUACGUAAUGUGAAUUGCAAAUUCAGUGAAUCAUCGAGUCUUUGAACGCACAUUGCGCCCCCUGGUAUUCCGGGGGGCAUGCCUGUCCGAGCGUCAUUGCUGCCCUCAAGCACGGCUUGUGUGUUGGGCCCCGUCCUCCGAUCCCGGGGGACGGGCCCGAAAGGCAGCGGCGGCACCGCGUCCGGUCCUCGAGCGUAUGGGGCUUUGUCACCCGCUCUGUAGGCCCGGCCGGCGCUUGCCGAUCAACCCAAAUUUUUAUCCAGGUUGACCUCGGAUCAGGUAGGGAUACCCGCUGAACUUAAGCAUAUCAAUAAGCGGAGGA